rnacentral:lncRNA from 1 species
UCUGUAAGCCCCAUCCUGGGCAGCAGAAGUGAGCCCCCUCCUCUCUGGAUCCGUAAAUUGCUAUUGUCCACGGGGGAGAUGGGCAGACUCAAUGAAGAGUCAUUCAAACUAAUUUUAUUCUUUCACUUUCGAGUGUUUUAAAUCUCUUGGGGAAAAAAAAAAGGAGUUAGCACAGGCCUCCGGAGACCACCCAAUUAAAUGGCCAUGGUUGCUGUGGAGUAUUUUGAGAGGAGGUGGUCCAUGUACAGGGUCUGUUUACACAUGCGGAGUGAGGACCAGAUGGGAGACAAACUGGUCCAGACAAGUACAUGGUCGCCUCCAGCUUUCUCCCCCCUCCCCCGAAUUGUAUUUGAUUGUUUAAGCUUGUCUAAAGAAAGCUGCAUUUUCCCCCCUUCCAUCUUUAAAUGAAAAGGAUGCUUCUGUACAAAACAAAUGGACGCAGUCUUUUUGAUCAAAUUAAGGGACCGGGUGGUCACGUGACCAAGCCAUUAGAUGAGAUAGAACUGGCUCUCGAAAUAGGUUCGGUUGUCUUCAUACUGGUUAAGAGAAUCCUCAGGCAUCCUCCCUACCCACAAGAAAAUCAGUUUGGCAGAAGAGUCGAGUUGGAAGAGGCAGAGCGGUACAAUGAAUUGGUGAACAGGGUUGUAGGUCUUUAAACAUGUGUCAGCAUUCAGCGGUCCAGGGUUGGUAUGAGGACCAGGCACUUGAGGACUAGGGGAAAACAAUUUUCUGGGCUCCAGCCAUUCUGUUUCUGUCUAUGCUGAUUUGUGGAGUGGCCUUGGGAUCUGCUAUUAAAAAAAAAAA